GAUGAACGCUGGCGGCGUGCUUAACACAUGCAAGUCGAACGGUGAAGAGAGAGCUUGCUCUUUCGGAUCAGUGGCGAACGGGUGAGUAACACGUGAGCAAUCUGCCCCUGACUCUGGGAUAACAGCUGGAAACAGCCGCUAAUACCGGAUACGAGCUGCGAAGGCAUCUUCAGCAGCUGGAAAGAAUUUCGGUCAGGGAUGAGCUCGCGGCCUAUCAGCUUGUUGGUGAGGUAAUGGCUCACCAAGGCGUCGACGGGUAGCCGGCCUGAGAGGGUGACCGGCCACACUGGGACUGAGACACGGCCCAGACUCCUACGGGAGGCAGCAGUGGGGAAUAUUGCACAAUGGGCGAAAGCCUGAUGCAGCAACGCCGCGUGAGGGACGACGGCCUUCGGGUUGUAAACCUCUUUUAGCAGGGAAGAAGCGAAAGUGACGGUACCUGCAGAAAAAGCACCGGCUAACUACGUG
rnacentral:rRNA from 1 species